AGCGAACGCUGGCGGCAGGCUUAACACAUGCAAGUCGAGCGGGCAUAGCAAUAUGUCAGCGGCAGACGGGUGAGUAACGCGUGGGAACGUACCUUUUGGUUCGGAACAACACAGGGAAACUUGUGCUAAUACCGGAUAAGCCCUUACGGGGAAAGAUUUAUCGCCGAAAGAUCGGCCCGCGUCUGAUUAGCUAGUUGGUGAGGUAAUGGCUCACCAAGGCGACGAUCAGUAGCUGGUCUGAGAGGAUGAUCAGCCACAUUGGGACUGAGACACGGCCCAAACUCCUACGGGAGGCAGCAGUGGGGAAUAUUGGACAAUGGGCGCAAGCCUGAUCCAGCCAUGCCGCGUGAGUGAUGAAGGCCCUAGGGUUGUAAAGCUCUUUUGUGCGGGAAGAUAAUGACGGUACCGAAAGAAUAAGCCCCGGCUAACUUCGUG
rnacentral:rRNA from 1 species